rnacentral:rRNA from 1 species
GAGUUUGAUCGUGGCUCAGGACGAACGCUGGCGGCGUGCUUAACACAUGCAAGUCGAACGAGAAUCUACUGAAAGAGUUUUCGGACAAUGGAAGUAGAGGAAAGUGGCGGACGGGUGAGUAACGCGUGAGGAACCUGCCUUGAAGAGGGGACGAACAGUUGGAACGAACUGCUAAUACCGCAUGAUGCAUAAGGGUCGGCAUGAUUCUUAUGCCAAAGAUUUAUCGCUUCAAGAUGGCCUCGCGUCUGAUUAG